AUGCGCCGCCUCUCGCCGCUGUUGGCGGUGGCGGUGGCGGAGUCCAUCGACGCCCUCCGCUUCUCCACGUGUGCCGCAACGGCGGCCGUUCCAUCCCCUCCCAACCUGGACCCCCCUCGCCUCGACCCCUCCGACAUCCGAUCUCACAAUGCCGCCCUCAUCGCAUAUUCUUCCAGGGGUAGUGAGGCACCGCGCCUCGCGCACCUCCCGGCCUCCUGCGGCGCCAUGCUAAAGUCCGGUGAGCCUCCCGAUUGCUGUACCUACAACACGCUCAUCAGCGUACAUUGCAAGCUUGCUCUCCUCGCUGAUGCCAGGGUCGCUCUGGCUUUGAUGCACGAGGCAGGGUUCGCGCCGGACACCUUCACCUACAACUGCCUCAUGCUCGGCCUCUGCAGGGCCGGCCUCCUCACAGCCGCGUGCGGGUUGUUCGUGCAGAUGCCACGCCGUUGGGGUGCCUACUACGACAGAUACUCCUACACUAUCCUCAUCCAGGGCCUGUGUGUCGUGAGGCGCAUUGACGAUGCCUGUAGGGUGUUUGCUAAAAUGUCGAGGGGCUGGUGCAGACCCGGGGUGCACACAUACACUGUGCUGCUUGAUGGGCUCUGCAAGGCUAGGCGUGUCAGGGAUGCCAAGGCUUUGUUGGGUGAGAUGGUCGAUAAGGGUGUGGUGCCAAACGUCGUGACUUACAAUGCCUUGAUUGGUGGACUUUGUCAGGAGGGAAGGUUCGAUGAUGUGACCAAAUUGUUGGAGAAAAUGGAGAUGCAGCAGCGUGCUCCAGAUUGCUGGACAUAUACCAUAGUUGUCAUGGUCUGUGGAAGCAUGGAAAAGUGGAGCAUGGUGCCAUGGUGUUGUGUGAAGCCUGUGAAGGGCAUUGAUUUAACAGUAAAUGGCUUCGGUGGA
rnacentral:rRNA from 1 species